CCUACGGGAGGCAGCAGUGGGGAAUAUUGCGCAAUGGGCGAAAGCCUGACGCAGCGACGCCGCGUGAGGGAUGAAGGUCUUCGGAUCGUAAACCUCUGUCAGCAGGGAAGAACGGUCACUGUGCUAAUCAGCAGUGAAUUGACGGUACCUGCAAAGGAAGCACCGGCUAACUCCGUGCCAGCAGCCGCGGUAAUACGGAGGGUGCGAGCGUUAAUCGGAAUUACUGGGCGUAAAGCGCUCGUAGGCGGUAUGUCAAGUCAAGGGUGAAAUCCCCGCGCUCAACGUGGGAACUGCCUUUGAAACUGGCAAACUGGAGUGUGUGAGAGGAUAGUGGAAUUCCUGGUGUAGGAGUGAAAGCCGUAGAUAUCUGGAGGAACAUCAGUGGCGAAGGCGACUAUCUGGCACAUAACUGACGCUGAGGAGCGAAAGCGUGGGUAGCAAACAGGAUUAGAUACCCCAGUAGUC
rnacentral:rRNA from 1 species